UCUUCCAACAAAACUCAUAGAAGACACUUAUAAGAAGGCCUUCUGUGGUGCAGUGAGAUUAUCUUCUGCUGCAGUAUAAUGGGAUCCCAUGGCCAUGGGCAGUAAGGUAGACCUGUGGAGAUUUUACUAGCUAUAAGAAAAAAAUCUUUCUUUCCUUCUAUUAUAUGAAGAUUAUUUGGGGAAACAUUAAUGUCUCCUGGCCUACUGGAAUAGAAAGCACAGAGGAAUGAAACAGGAAUGACAACAGGAACCCGUUUUAUUCCUGUUUAUCUAUGACAUGGGGGAAGGAGUCAGACUGCAAACUAUGCUGAGAGAAGACACCACGCUGAGUGAAUAGAGGGAGGCAAACUAUCUAUGAAGUGUGGAGAAAUGAUAAAACACGUGUUCUUUGAAGACAGUGCAGUCUCCUCCAAUAGCUUUUAUGGCUUCUUCUUGAUGAUCUCCAUAAUAGGAAGUGUCACGUGCUGGUUCCUGAUGGAGCUCCAAUCCAAAGGCUGUUAAGGGGUUUUGUUCCAUUUUAUGAUGAAACAACAAGAAAUACAACCCUCUGCCUGCAAUUACAGUCUACAAAGGAUGCUAAACUAUAUUGAAGCUCAGGAUCAAGAGCCAGAUUUCAGCCAAGGCUAAAGACUGCUAUGCAAAUUCAGAAUAAUUCAUGCUGGAUGUGACUUACAAUGUGAAAAUGAAUAAAGAAAUGUGCUGAUCAGUACAUAAAUUUCAGGACAACUACCCCUACCCUAAAUCUGAAAUGUAAUGCUUUUUAAGAUUAAACAUUAAAAAAAUAGUUAAGAGGUCAGCCAAAGAACUUCAGCAUAAACUUUUAGCAAGAAAAUGUGCCACUGUGUUUUAGUGAUAACUGAAGAGGAACUCCAGAGAUUGCAUGGGUUUAAUCAUGAGGGGUGGGGUGGUAUAAAGCCCACCCAUGCUUUGUAGGAUUGCAGCCAAGUCAAGAGGGAGUAUCUUAAUAUGAUAUACUAGGCCAAAUUAAAGGGGAGGGCUGGUAUUUUGGCAUACUUCUAAUCUUCACCAGUGCUAUAGACAAAUUGCUGAACUAGGCAACCCUUGCCCAUUUUGGGUUCUUAAGUGGUUCUGAAAUUCUGUAUUUUUCAGCUGCAUCACUUUAGAAAGCCAAGAGUUUGAAGCCGUUCAAAGGAUUAUGAACAAAUGAGCUACAAAAUGUGACUGUGGUUACAUUCCCCAAUUCCAACAGCAACAGGAAGAGACACAGAAUGAAAUACAGCAAGCAGUGGCAGAGUCAAGUUAGGGAGCAUACAGUCAAUACCGUAAUCCAAAACCAAGCGGGCUUGUGGUUCUCUAUUUGUCUUCCUUCAGUUUCCCAAUAUAUGUUUUAAUUCCCUUAAAGACCCAGUCCAACAAUACACUCAGUCAGCCAACAGAAACAAAUGAGAGCCCUUUCAUAUUUUCUUUUCCACUAGUUGCAAGAUAUAACAUUAGUGGAACCACAACAGUACAUUUUUCCCCUCUCAUGAUCUUUUUCUCUAGAUACAGAAUACAAAAUCCUGCUUAUCAGAAUCCAGAUCCCAAUGGACAUUAGUAUACAUCCAGUUUAAAAAAUUGGGUUCAAUACAAGUCUGAUAUCACCAAAAAGCUAAUUUGAUUAAUCACAAGUGUGACUUUGUCCCUACGAGUUGCUUCCUCCACUGUAGUUGCUGGUCUCUUUUUUAUUUCUUUAAUGAAACAAUGUAUAACAAAUUAUCAAAAAUAAAAACCAGCAUAAUAAAUAUAGCAGAAACUUCACAACAGCAAGUACUUAAAAUGUGCAUAAUUCAGAAUGCGCGCACACACACAUUUGGAAUCUUAAUUUUAAGAUUACAAAUGUUCAACUUCCCCAUUCAAUAUUUUUUAUUCAUAAAUAUCUUUGUAUAGGCAGAGAUAAUCUAUUAGGAAUUACUUUGUUAAUACAAUUAAAAAUGGAAGCCAAAUGUGUGUAAAAUAAUUUUAAAUGAAAGUUUAUUUAAGAUCCCUUGUUUUGUAUGCUCUUUGUAUUAUUCUAUUUUUAAUUGUCUUGUGUUGUGCACCACCCAGAGUCUGGA